GCCUCAGUGGUGUAGUGGUAGCAGACGCCCCUGAUUUAGGUGAAACACGGGUUCAAAUCCCGCCUGAGGUCA